CGCGUAGGUGGUUGUUUAAGUCUGUCGUGAAAGCCCUGGGCUCAACCUGGGAAUUGCGAUGGAAACUGGGCGACUAGAGUGUGGCAGAGGGUAGUGGAAUUCCUGGUGUAGCAGUGAAAUGCGUAGAGAUCAGGAGGAACAUCCGUGGCGAAGGCGACUGCCUGGGCCAACACUGACACUGAGGCACGAAAGCUGGGGGAGCAAACA
rnacentral:rRNA from 1 species